UGUGUGUCUGUGUGUGUGUGUGUGUCUGUGUGUGUGUUACAGAAAACACCCUCCCAAUCGCAAUGGAGGUAGUUCGUGGUUGCCAGAUCUGUGCAGAAAACAUGGAAGCCUACAGAAACUAUAACUAAACAGAUGCUGUUCUGUGCUGCUGCCGUGUUCCACAUGGAUCCUGGAGAUUCAUGGACCUGCUGUGGGUAGAACAACCUACAGAUCACGGAGACGACGUCGGACUGCAGUCGAUAUGUUCAGCCUCAUCUGACCAGCUCACGUGAUCCUCCGAGCUCCGUCUGUUCCCCUACUUACCCCAAGCAGUUCAACACAAACUUACUCUGGGAUUUCACUUCAGUACAACGACGAUACUGAGGACAAACACCAAGAGCAACGACUAUGUACAGUAACUGAGUACCGUAACAGCAGCGAAGGCGACGUGACUCGCCUCAUCACAGAGAAACAGGAAGAUUAAAAUCAUCUGAGGCCGGAAAGUUCUGGAUCUGAAGUUCACGUGAAGCACAUGUCCAGAGCAACGACGAAUUUUUAUUACCUGAUAUUUUAGACUUAAAAAAACAAAACCACACAAAAAAAAACAACUUCUAUUUAACCUUUUAGUGUUGAUUUAAUAUAAACUCUCCCUUUAUUUGGCUCUCUGUGUUUUUAACACCAGUUUUUAACGUGUCAGGCCAUCCUUAAAUAUAUUCCUGUUUGCCGUAACCCGACCGACUCAAUUUUUUUUUUUUUGCUUCAAGUCCGACCGACUCGCCGGUUGUAAAUUUGCGUCAAGA